CUGGCAGCUACAGCGAGAGCCAUUAAGUCUGGUGUUACUCACCCGCGUGUGUACAGUCAUUCACCACAUUGAGCUCAUAUAUAUAAAUACACGGAUGUAUGGUACUAGACUUGUAAUUAGCAGCUAAGUUGUGUAACAAUAUAAAACUAUAUCCAAGAAUUCACAUAUAAAAAAAAAAUUUCUCGUGAAGUUGACAAACAAAGUGACCAUGUUGCAGUGUAGGAAAGAAUUCCUCGUGGUCAUUUUAGCAAGCACUUUAACUGUGGCUCCAAAAUCAGCCCUUGGAUCGGUCUUUGGAACACUGCAGAGACUGAGAGAGGUAGACGACGCCCUUAUCCACGCUGAAAAAUCCCCUAGAUGAUCUCUACAAU